GACGAACGCUGGCGGCGUGCCUAAUACAUGCAAGUUGAGCGAUGAAGAUUGGUGCUUGCACCAAUUUGAAGAGCAGCGAACGGGUGAGUAACGCGUGGGGAAUCUGCCUUUGAGCGGGGGACAACAUUUGGAAACGAAUGCUAAUACCGCAUAAUAACUUUAAACAUAAGUUUUAAGUUUGAAAGAUGCAAUUGCAUCACUCAAAGAUGAUCCCGCGUUGUAUUAGCUAGUUGGUGAGGUAAGGGCUCACCAAGGCGAUGAUACAUAGCCGACCUGAGAGGGUGGUCGGCCACAUUGGGACUGGGACACGGCCCAAACUCCUACGGGAGGCAGCAGUAGGGAAACUUCGGCAAUGGGGGGAAGUCUGACCGAGCAACGCCGCGUGAGUGAAGAAGGGUUUCGGAUCGUAAAACUCUGUUGGUAGGGAAGAAAGUUGGUGAGAGUGGAAAGCUCAUGAAGUGACGGUAACUACCCAGAAAGCAACGGCUAACUACGUG
rnacentral:rRNA from 1 species